CGGGAUGGAGCAGUCUGGUAGCUCGUCGGGCUCAUAACCCGAAGGUCGUCGGUUCAAAUCCGGCUCCCGCAACCA
rnacentral:tRNA from 3 species